rnacentral:lncRNA from 1 species
GUGAAUGAGACGGCUAGUCCACCUUUUCUACAUGUUCAUAGUAGUCAAUUGCAUUGGAAUGGGGAGGGGAGAAUGGAAUGGCAAGUCAUGGAUGUUAGGGAUGGAUACUCGCAAGGGAUGACCUCUCACUUAGAUAGCUGUAACCUAUGGCCCGGGCUAGCCUCUCGAAACCUACACAGGUGCACCUCAAUCCGAAUCUGGGAGGAAUGUUCCAGGCGGGCAUGAAGGGGUGCAGAUAUAGUGUCACUGCUGAAUCGAGGUCUCUGGAAACUUCUCUCGUCUGCUCUACUUCGUUCAUCUCUUUCUCACAGCCCACGAUCGCAUCGACAACUAGUUUCUUUCUCUGUAUCCCACUCGUCGUAAUGGGGGGAAGAUGGGACUGAUAAACCCCAGGAGAAGUUGAAGUAGCGGAUGAUCCCAAAGAGGCAGGUCGUGGUGGGAUGGGUAAUCGAUCCCUAUCAAGAUUAGAUCAUGAUGAUACUUCGAGAGUAUGCCUUUUCUCACGUACUUUCACGGCUCAUUUAGUGUUUAGAUUAUUGGAGUUGAGUUGUUGUCGUUGAAUGGACUAGAAAAGCUGGACAUUCUACCUCCUUGAAGUGACUUCCCUCGACGGUUGCGGGUUCAUUCACUUUCGCGUACGAGAUAGAACUGUCCUAUCUCUCCUUUGUCGUUCUAAAUUGAACACUGAAAAGA